AUUCUUCUUACUUUUUCUAUCAACAACCUGACUACCCUCGAGAUUGUAAGGAAGUCUUUGAACAAUGUGACGGGGAAUCUUCAGACGGGGUCUACCUCAUACAACCAGACGGAUACCUUGAACCAUUUCCUGUGUACUGUAACAACACUGUAGAUGGUGGCAAUUGGAUGGUAUGGUUUUAGAUCAGUCUACAUGAGCUUCUUAGCUUUCACAGACGACUCUUAAAUUAAAAAUUAAAUAGUUUAUUCCCAUUUAAGUCACUGGUAAACUUCGUUUAUUAUCAGUGUAUGUUGACAAAUUAUAUAUACCUGCAAAAGAGAACAACGUAGCAGUUACGAUGACUAUGAUUUAUAAGUUCAAUGUGAACGUUUUUUAAACAUUAAGAAAUACGCGUGAUGCUUAAUAUUAAAACAUGUUCUUGAUACAUACAGGUUAUACAGCGACGAAUGGACGGUGGUGUAGAAUUUAACCGUGACUGGGGACUACAAAAACGGUUUUGGCUUCCCACAUCGCGAUUUUUGCUUCGGUAAUGAGAAACUAGCGUACAUUACAAAUCAGAAGGCUACGAAAUUAGAUUUGACCUUGUUUCAAAGAGCGGUGAUCCACAUUUCGCUAAGUACAACCUUUUCCGUGUGAGCGAUGAAGGAACUUUGUACAGGCUGGUGGAUGUUGGAGACUAUGACUCGACAAGUACACUUAGUAAGUAUUCUAUUUUAUAGCAUUGAUAUAUGAUAUGUUGUUUAAUAGAGUAUUUAUAUAGGCUGCAUGUGCUACACUGAGCGAGAGACGUGUAUGGUGCGCCUAGAGUGCCAUAAGUCCUGAAAUUGACAUAUACUGUCCUAUAAAUUGCCAUAUGUCAGUUUCUCGCAGUAAGUACUGCUUAUAGAGAUAACACUGUUACAAAAUAUUGUUUUAUUAACAUAAAAAGUGCAAAAGAAGAUGUGAAUUGUAAUUGGCUAAAAUGGACUAUAGUAUUUAAAUAUUCUGUUUUAAUAUCGGUUCCAUGGGAUCUACUUCAAUAUGUACAUGGCAUUGAAAGGAAAUGUGCAAAUUUCCACAAACAGAACAGGUGACAUUUCGAUGCAGUUUGGUUUGAUUUUCCCUUUUUUUUAGUGAUUCAUUAAACACAUAGAACAAAACUUGGAAUGUUACGUUGACAUGCAAGGAAUAUAAAACAAUGAAAUAUGACACCAUCGUGCUUCCUUUCUUGGAUUAUUUUUAGCAAGCCGGGAUUGGUUGUGGGGGUAUCCCACUUCUUUGAUGAAUUGUAUUAGUAAGAACUGGCAGACAUUACCUGACAGGUAUUUUAUGAUGUAUUUAACUUUAUCCAUUCAAAACAUUUACUGCUCGCAAUCUUAUAUAUCAUCAAGAUUCAGAGCAAACAAUGUUACGCAGAGCACCAAUCAACUAACACCGACGUAUGAAGUACAAAUUAUUAUGAUACAUUUUAAAGUAAUCCAAUGGAUGUUAGGAAUAUACUUUGCACUUUGUUGGGACCUUCUCUACAGUCUAAGUGAACUUUAACUUUGUUUUUCUUGUUUUGGUUGUUUUAACGAAUAGAGUGUCAGUAAUUCACAAAUAUACUUCUCAUGCCAGUUAUUUCUUAACAUGUCAUAUCGUUUAUCAUAUAAACAUGGUUAUACAAUAUUCCAAGUCGUUAAUUGAGACAGUAAGAUUUGGUUGAAGAACACGGAUACAUAUAGGUCCUCGGUUCGAGUCACUCCAAGAUUAAUGUUUGUCGUCCAGUUACAGAUUUGUUGACAAUUGACAAUUCAUGAUCAUGGACGUCAAAUAUGAAUGUAAGAGACUGACUUCGGUCAGCUUGCUUCUUUGAUAAGCCAAUGAGGCUUCUUCGCGAGUUCCUGCUUGCAGGAUCAUUUAAAAUACAUACAUAUAGUUCUUAUUAGCACUAAUAUUGUGAUGAUCAAUGUGAAAUAUUAUAAAAAGUAGUCAAGGAAACCUACUAACUGAAAACAAAAAUGCAUUUUACAUUGAAUCCGUUCUUGAUCUAACUUGGAUAUGACCAUGUUAAAUACGAAAGGAUUUGUUUUACAAUUUUCGAUAUAUUUAAUUUGACAAUAAUUGUCCAAAACUAGCCAGUAUUACUUAGAUCAUUAUUAACACCCAAAAUCUGUUGGGAACAUAUUGGUUACGUAUGUAUCCAACUAAAGUAAACCUUCGCCCCAAAACAAGUAAAAUACACACAACAAGUAUGCAUUUAUACAACCAAAAUAUAAGAAAACCUUUGCAUCAAAACAAGUAAAAUGAAGCCAAUAGGUCACCAGUGCCGUGCAAAAUAUUUGCCCAACUUUGUUACAAUGAAACAUACGGUAUAAUAUGAAAUUGGAAAUGUCCAAUUUGCAAACUUUAUUAUUACAAAUGUACAUUACUAAAGUCAACAAAAUAAUUCAGUUCCGAUUAUAUAUGGAAUACAACAUUUAAUAGUAGAGUAUCUCUUCGAGGAAUAGCAUAUCUUGAUAAACGUGAAAAUAAUGCCAUUUCAGCCGUUUAUCUGUCCUUAAUAAGAAAAUAAACAUUUAAAAAAUAUAUACAUUAGCCAUAUGUUUUUAAUAUUCAAUUGAUUCCUUACAUGUUAACACAACGUAUAAUUAAUUAACAGUUCUAAUCAGUUUCUUUCUUGUAUUUUAUUGCAGGUUACGAUGCUUUGCCUUACAACAAAGGAAUGGCUUUUACAACAAGAGAUCGCGACAAUGACCUUAAUUCUGGCAACUGUGCUAGUAGUUAUAACGGUUGGUGGCACAAGACUUGUUCUUAUACUUAUCCCAAUUAUCCAUGGAGUACUGGUCCUCAUUGGCAUAACUUUCCCGGCGGUAAUCACAACAUCCAAUAUAUAGAGAUGAAGAUACGUCCAGUUGAAUAAAGAAGAAAAGAAAAAAGGACAACACAGCUGUAUGAAGAUCGACUUUACAUGGAAGCAACUGAAAAGCAAUUUACAUUGGUGAACAUGAUUUUACUAAACUGACGUCAAAGCUCAUUUUGUUAAAUAAACGUGGAUGCAGAAACCUUCAUCGAUGGUUCUUAAUUCAGUUCUACUAUGCAUAAAGACGUCAAAGAAUAUGUGUGUUUUAUAACAGCUGUUCGCUUUAGUUUGCUUAAUGUCUAACCAGACUCAUGCUUAUUAUUUAAUGAAGAUAAUAAAAUUGUAUCGUAAAUUUAAAGAACAUAUUCUUCCUGUUAUUAAAACAUGUUUUUAAAGUAGACUACUCUAUUAAAAAUAAAUCAUACUUUUACAAUUGGCAUCAGAUUAAGGCUUUCAUAAUAAUUAUAAUAAUAUGUAAGUUCUUAUUAUAGCGCCAAAUUCUAAAAGGCCUCUAGGCGCUUUACAAAACCUAAAACAAAUAGAAACAAAAAGACAGAGAAAUCAAAGGAAUAAAAGUCUAUAAAACACAAAAACGAAAAUCAAACAGUAUGUAAAAUACGAACACAAAAAUGUAAAACACGAGACAAACCUAAACAAAACAAAGCAAAGGAAAGCACAUAACAUAGAGUUAUACAAAAGUACUAGUCUAGAUAUAACCACGAGUAUAUAAAAGUGACAAAAUCACGUAGAGAAACUAAAAAGAUGUGUUUUAAACAUUUUAUUAAAUAUUGCGAGAGAUUUGGCAGUCUUUAUGUCUUUUUGAGGGGAGGGUUUGUGUUAUUUUAGGCUGUACGUUUGCAAUGCGAUUGAAACUCACCUUGAAGAAAACAUAUCACAAGUUGAUGAAACCUUUCGUUCUUGCAUCAUCAAUGGACACAAUGGACGCAGACUUCUUACUAGCUUUCAAUCAGAAUCUAUUGAUACUUUACCUUUAAAUAUAAACUCCGCUAUCAUUCACAUGGUAUUGUAUAACUGUUGAGGAGGGUGGUAGGGGUGGGGGUAGCAUGAUUCCAUUUGAAACUGUUUUAAUAUCCAGCUCAUCCUCACCGCAGGUUGCGCAACUGCGAUUAAUAAAUCAUGUAGUUGGUAUUAAGUUGAAUUCUAAUUUUUUAGAUUUUAAGAGUGAACGGAGCGACUUCAAUGACUAUAUUACCACCUAAGAAAUCUCUACCCUCCCCUCACUUAUUCUGCAUUCCAACUGCUCAUAUUUGAGAAUGACAAACUAUUAACAGAAACCUUGUUUAUAUUGGUAUACUCUGAUGGCUUCCUAUUUAAUCGCUUGACUGCCUAGCAAUGUUUCUUCCAUUCAUAUUUUGUGCUGUUAAAUUGUAGUUGUUUACAACGUUAUUGAAUAUUACAACGCACCGUACCUUUGCAAUGUCGCCCUUCUCGUCCUUGGAUAGACCAAUGACAAGAGCCCAAAUCGAAGUCAGCACGUUACAUCAGGGAGUAGUUAUGGAACAACUCCCUGGUUACAUUGAACCGAUACAUAAGGCCGAUCAGGCAGAUAACGAUGCAUCAUUUUAAUAGGUGGAUACACAAUUCAUUUUCUAGCCUCUGGCUACACUAUACUGCAUAUUGAUAACACUCUACACCCUUAUUUUACUCCUGGAAAGCCCUCCUUUUAUUGCCAAAACUAACGACUACAACUUCACAAAUAUCAAUCGAUUCAUGUCUCUGAUAAAUCUUAGGUUGGUAUUAAAAGGCAUGAAAGUAAAAGGACGGUAUUUCGAACAUGUUGCUUAGCUAUUAGUAAACAAUAUUUUAAGUAUAAAUGGAUCUCUAUCCCUACUGUUGAAUGGAAUGACGAUACGUUAGACUUUUGCCCAUCUUCAGAUCUCAACAGGGCUAACAACAAAAAUCCCGAAAAGAGGAAUCGCUAAUAUAAAACAAACUAUUUUGUUUACAGUAAUGUUUAGUGUUCCGUUACGUCCGAAUCUCCGAAAGGAAUAUUUAUGGAAUACUGGCAUACAGCGCGAGGCACACUCAGAAAUUAACGGCGGGAGAAAAAAGGUAGAUUUGCACAUGAUAACCACGAUUCAUUGUACACUAUCAUACCAUUCAUAUUUCCAAAGUAUCUUCUUUCGCAUCUUGCCGACUUCGUAAUCAGAUCGACAAUAUCUUCAUUAUCUAUAGAAUUAAAUUUAUAUUCUCACUUGAGAUCAGAUUCUCAUCUGUCUCAAUAAUAUUCGCGUAACAUUACCAAAACUCAAUAAGAAAAUGUAUGAUAAACUGGUACUAGAACAACCUAUCUUUAACAGACUUCUAAGGUUCAAACCUACCAAAUGUAAUUUUUAGUUUGUUGUGUUUUUAAAACAGAACAAUGCAAGUAUCCCUAAUUUCGUAGUAGUAAUAAUUGUAAGGCAAUAAUUAUUUAUAAUAAAUAUACAUGAUAGAUUCUGUCUUUUGCACCUCUCUGGCCGUAACUUGGAAUUACCUCACUCUCCUGAGAUUAUACCAUAAGCUUGUUCGGAUGAAGUGGUUUACAGUAUAGCGCAUAGAUUAAAUUGUGUGAUGGGUGAUAGUUGGAAUGUAACCUGAUUUAUGCGACCUGUGCAAACUUUCAGCGUUAUGCCAAUCUUGUUCACAAACUAAAUUUUAAUAUACCGUAUCUUCAGGAGAAUGUAAACAUUUUACAUAAAAUGUUACAUAAACAAUUUACAUAAAUUUAACAUCCGCUAAACAUGGUUAACUAGUAGGAUGAUAACAUGCAAGUUGUCUUUCCAGAUCCGUGACGAAAUAGAACGUUGAAGUAUUUAAAGUUUGAUUUCAUACUGAUGGCGUAUAGACCGAUUUCUAAAGUAUUGCGAUAAACAAAUGGAACCUGUAAACCACCGUACCGAAGAGACCACAAACGCAUUUCCUUAAUACUUGUGCUGAACCAUACACAUUUCUCGAAACAAGGAGUAUUGCUAUCGAUCAACGUUGAAACAAUUGUCGCGACUCGGUAUAAAUUCCAGAAAAGGCAAUGGUCUUCAAAUGACCGUGAAUUUGCACUUUCAAUUUAGAACUAAACUGCAAAUAAAAACUAUACUGAUUGGUGACUUUGUGACGUGACGAUGGUUGCAGGUGUGAUACCACUGAGUUCAGGGAGUAGUAGGAAAUAUACCCUAUAAUCCUCGAAAUUUAAUAUUCAUAUCAGUGAUAAAAGAUGUCGUCGAACACUACAAUGUUUCUAGACUGACAUCUCCGUCAUUACAGUUUGACAACUACAAUGGUCCUAUAAAAAUGAUUUCUAUUCUUGAUAAAUUAACAUGCACUUCACAAAUAAUUAACGGCCAUGUGGCUAAACAAUAAUGGUAUCUGUCGGUAAAAAAGGUUGAUGAUGCCAUAUGUAGAGCAUGAAGUUCGGUUCCAGAUCUGGAAAAGUAGGCAAGGAAUCGUAAGGUUUGCUUUCCCUGGGCACGGUGGUGUCUUGUCCUCUAACUCUAGGCCGUUAUUCCAGCUAGUGUUUGUCGUUCACUAAAGUCACUCCCAUAAGAAAUAAUUCAUCCAGAAUCGAUCUUUUUAAGAUGAAAAAUGUCACUUCGCCAAACAUAUUGGAUAAAUUUGCACGCCGAGAAUAAAACUAACGAACUGUUGGAGACCAGUUUCUUGAUCAAGUAAGAAUCACGAUGAUUUGCCACCUUAAACAAAGAAGAUUUUAACGCCAAACGAAAGUUAUGUAUGGAAGUAUCAAUUCGGCACCUCCACCAAAUGUUCCGUUUCGUCUACAAUCUCCGAAAGGAAUAUAUGUGGAAUACGGGGAUUCAGCGAAAGGCACACUCAGACAAUAUUGGUGCUAACAAUUAGUAGAUUUAGGAUAGAACCAGAAUUUAUUCACCUGUACAUACAAGUAUGCAUGUAAUUAUGCAUGUACGUAUGUAUGUAUGUUAGAUCCCCCUGCAAGCAGGAACUUGCGAAGAAGCCUCUUUGGCUUAUCAAAGCCACAAGCUGACCGAAGUCAGUCUCUUAGAUUAAUAAUUAACGUCCAUGAUUAUGAAUUGUCAAUUGUCAACAACUCUGUAAAUGGACGACAUAUAUUAAUCUUGUAGGGACUCGAACUGGGGACCUUAUUGAUAGGCACCGGCGUUAACGAGUGUUAACCACAUACAGCUUUAACCACAUACAGCUUUACUACUUCUCCGAGGCUUAAGGUCAAAGCCAAGUCUCUCUAACUCCAAGACCCGUACGUAACCCGUAGUAUUUUACAGGGUUGAAUAAUUAAAUACUUCAUUUAAUUUAUUAGUAACAACAAUUGUAAAAGAAACAAUCGUAAACUCUCAGUUUAUGGUCUGUCGACAAACACGCCAUCAGUAUAAUUUUAAGUGACAUUUAAAAUCAUGACGCUUGCGAAGGUUUCUGUUAGAUUUGUUCUACAAAAUUUUUACCUUUAAAGACUCGCUAUAUGUGUUACAUUGAUCAGGAAAAUCCAAUAAAUGUUAUUGUAAGGAUUAAGAGAGCUUAAGGAAUAUAUACCUUCAUUUUUACUGCAUGGCAGUCAAAAGUAUCUUAAUCACACGCAUUCUUCAAUUUGUUGUCGUAAUUUUCAUAGCAAAGUGAAAUUACUGCUAUUCUUUAACAUAAGAUUAACCAAAAAGACGCAAUCAUCUUACGAUCUUUCAACACAAAUUUAUUUAUACUUUUCCUUUCUAGCACAAUAAAUGUGUUCAUCACUUCCAUGGUAUUGCUCGAACACUGAUAACAGGGGAAAGCAGUAGCGAUGGGUGAGGGUGUAUACAGGGUGUUUUGGGUCUUGAGGGUGAUGUAAUAUCCAGGUCAUUCUUUCCGAAAGUUGCGAAACUGCGUAGAAGUGUACAUUUGUCGGUGGCUUUGAGUUUUUGAAGUAUCCACCAUAUCAGGAAUAAAGAGAAGAACUUCACGCUGGCAGCCCUCUUUAUAAUGGUAACGUAUACCCAUGAUACCAUUUUAAAAGCUUUUCCUUUCUUCGUUAAGACUAAGGACUAGAAAGGAAGACGUUUUCAUUGUGAUAAUGAUGUCUAAUAUACGAAGAUUAUGUAUAGCGUUAUAAAAUAUGUUUUGACGGAGGAAUAGGAAAGUUAAAUUAAUAAUUUAUUUGAUGUGGAAAACAAUCAUGCAUAACAUGUAUUAAUUUUUCAACUGAAAUUUCAUAUGAACAUUUUUUUUUAUAUUUUGAUAUUGAACAAGAACCAAGUCAGAAAAGGCUAGGCCUAUUCCGUUUCAAAAGGUACAAUGAAAUUUAUCCAAAAGAUGAGAAAAUUCACUUCGUUAAAGAGUUUGCCUUUUUCUUUCACAAUGAUAUAUAUAGUUAAAAUCUAUUUGAUGUAUGGUUGUGAUUGACACCCAUCUACAUAACUAGCGCAUACAGCUAUCAUAUUAAAAGUAUAUUGUAUUGCACAUGAUGGAACUUAACCUUUACGGUUGUUAGGGAAUGAUCAUCUAUCCCAGUAUGUCAUUCACAAGACACCUCUAUCUGGAAAAUUUGAGAUUGAAUAUCACUUCUUCUUGAGCUCUCAACCUGAAAACAUCAGCCCAGAACAACUCGGCAAGAUGCAUCUUUUUAUUUCAUUCUGUAUUUUCGGAGCUUUUGUCUCAAGUCUCCAAGUGUCAGGAAGCACAAUGGUAAGUUUCUUAUCUGUUCAUUUCAUAGAAUGCUUCAUUUGUAUUGAACCUUUAACUAUAUUACCAAUUAUUAAAUUGUUGUUGUCAUGAUGUGAUAGAAACUGAGUGAUUUAGAUUUUUAAGUUGUAUAAAUUGCCGUCCGUCCUUAAUGUUUUUUUUUUCUGCAAUGCAUUCGUUUCAAUUUUAUUUUCAAACUGUUUACAUUUUCUGGUAGUUGAGUAAUUAACGAACAACUGAACAAACUUAAAAGAAUUAAACGUUUUUUUUUUAACUGUCUGAUGAAUCUCGAUCGAUUGAUAGUUACAACUCAUUGGGAAUAAUUUAUCUGAAGACUCAAUUCGGAUUUAAUUUUCUGGUGGUACAUUAUCUUUAGAGAUGUUCCUUUUUAGUUCAGGAAGGUCGCAUCAUGAACGAUGGUGUUAAAGGGGUAUAACCUCAAAGGACCUAAAGUGAUAGUUGAUAGUUGAUGUUACAGUUCUGUGUGUAAUCGAAUUAUGGCUCAGAUUGAGCAUCCGAAAAUUACAAACAAUCAUGUUUAAACAUUUUUUUAAACCAGAUUGUGUAAUGUAGCGGUUUAAACCGUUCCAUCACGUUCGUUUUUUCAACAAUUCAUACUAACCUUAGGACUAGUAGCACAAACUGAUCGGAGGGAAAAAUUUUGAAGACCAGAUCAAUUCAUGGUUGUUACAACAUGUACUAAUCACCGAAACAAACAUUACCGUUCUUGCAAACGUAAUAGCUUUACCUAUACAGAAGAACAUCGUCGACACUUAAUAUAGUCUUCUUCUAAAUUUUAUAAUUUUUUUAUCAGUUUAAAAGAAAUACUUAUCUCUUUGAAAUAUAUGUAUCGCCUUCAUUUAAAUUAUAAAAUAAAAUAUUUUACUCGGUGGCACAUAUUAUUAGUAAAAAAAGUAAUGUCUAAUAUCUAAAACAUUUUCGAACAGUAUCGGCUGUUUCCUUUAAAUUAGCUUUGUAAAUUUCACAACAAUAUUACAAAACUUCAUUCAGUACCUUCGCAAAAUAAUCAAAAUAUACUUAACCUUCUCAUGUUGCGAUGUAUUAAUUGCAAGAGGAUUUUUAAAAUAUAAUAUUUUACUCGAUACCACAUAUUAUUAGUAAAAAUUAUAUAUAAUAAAUAUCUCAUAUCUAAAACAAUUUUCGAAAAGUAGCAAAUUCUUCCUCCAAAUUAACUUUCUAAAUUUCACAACAAUGUAAUAAAACUUUAUUCAGUACCUUAUCAAAAUAAUUUAAAUUACAUUUAAACUUAAACAGAUUUGUUUUAAUUUAUGUCUCAUGUUGCGAUGUAUUACUUAGAAUUUUAAGUAAUAUUAAAAACAUUGGCAAUCAAACACGUGGUUGAUAUAAUAUUUUCUAAGUUAUGAAAACGUAUGAUGCGAUAGUAACAUUAAAUUCAACUAAUCGAGGUCGUUUGUGUAACCAUCCAUUUACGUUGACAUGGAACUUGAUUGUUUCUCUUAUACUUUUUAGAAUAAAGUUGCACGUUAACUCUGUGUGUAUGAUAACGUUAUAUUCUUUGAUAUUACCUUUGGUCAGUAGGUUUUUCUUCUAAACAUUAUCUUUCAUUUGUCAUUAACUCUCUAUGAUCUUUGCAUCGUGUGCCAAUACUAUCCUGUAAACUUUCAAUCUUUAACGAUACUAUAUGAAGCAAAAUAUGUUGUCUACUAAACAGAAUUACAUCUGAUUUAACGUCUCCUUAAAGAUUUUAAGAGUAUUACAAAUCUCCCAAAAUAUAUCUUAUUAUAUUUUUUAGAUUUAUUUUUCUUCGAAACAUGACUCACAACGUGCCAAAAGCUUAACGAAUCUUAACUAACUUUAAUUCAAAAUGAAUAAUUGAUAAGCAAUGGUAACAAUGUCAAUAGUAUAUAUUACCAAUAUUAUCAAUACUAUGAAGAAUUACAAGUUUUAAUUUUAUUAUUAUAUCUUUUUGUUCGAUAUUCCAUAAAAUUUAUUUGAACUUUUUCCGCUUUAUGUGCAAAAUAUUAAGGGCAACUGACAUUAGGUCCCAUAAUAGUUGUAUGCUACUUAAGAUUUACUCAUCCCCACCCCCAAGCUUAACUUAUAGUAUUAACACACUGGACCUAUGUUAAUGAGCCGAUUACGUGCUAUUAUAGAUUGCUAUUACAGUCGUGAUUUCGCUUAGUUGUAAGAAAAAUAAAAAAGACUGAACUUUAAAACUUUAACGUACUUGGCAUUAUUGUUUAUAAUUGUCGUUAUCUUCAACUGUAGCUUUAGCUUUGAAGAAUAACGUACGAAUUUGCUAUUUUCGUUAAAUGGUAUAAGCUAACUAUACAUAAAGGUCGAAUAUUUCCCAUACCAUUAUUUUGCUUUUCUGAAAGAUAUCCGUUGUUUAGAUUAAACUUUACUGAAUGUGUAUCAGAUUUCAAUAAUCUUUUGAAAGAAAUAACGUUUGUAAAGAUCGCUGACGUUCACAUAUUGUUAAUAUUAUUCUUUUUGAAGUGACAAGUAAAUUUUUGUUAUACUGAGAAACAUAAUAAUAGGUCAUGUUGUAAAAAAAAAACAACUUCGAAUUUUAUUAAGAUUCAAGUGAAAUAAUAAUGAGCACAAUUCUAUUUGUCCCGUGAAGUCAAGUUUCCUCCUUAAUUUAUGAUGGUUCUCCUGUAAAAGAUAUCAUUGCUUUUUAUAUUCUCUCACACAUUUUGUUCCAUAUUGUAUGAAAGCCAAGAACUUUGCAACAAAGAACUAAAGAAGCUUAAAAAGGGAGCUUCUCAUAGUCUCAUAUUGAAGCUGCAUCUAUAGAUCUCUGUUACAAAUCAAGAUAUAUAUAUAGUUUGCAAGUAUCGUAGGACUUUGCGAAGCUGUUGGACACAGUAGAGAUCGGUAUAUAUUUGAUUUAUCUUGGAGUCAAAAUAACCUUGUUUUCAUUUAGUACGGCAAUACUUGCGUCUUCUCACAUGCAUAUGCGAUUUGGUAAAAGUUAAUUGUUUAGUCUAAAUAUGAUAUUGAAGUUAAGUAUUCCCCUUCCGUGUGCUUAUUUGAUACCUUCCAUUUAACAGACUUUCUACAAUUGAUUUUGCCAAUUUUAAAGUGAAAGUCACAUAUCUAUGUAGGCAAUUUUGCUCAAUUAUUCAAAAUUUCAUCAUUCAAAUGGUGAAGGUAAAAGUAGAAGGUUUUGAAUUUUUUCGAAUGAUUUGAUAUUUGUUUUACCAAAAAAAGAUGAUGAUGUCCUUGUUUAUUAUUUAAAAAUCUUACUUGCUGAUUACGUUUAAAAGUGUUGUAAGAAAAAAAAUGCAAUUUUUGAUAUGAUUGUUUGCGACCGGUGUAAUUCGCUUGACUGUUAAACAUAUUCUCUACAAUACAGAACAUGGAGAGAAAUGAAGGUUUUACAAGGAAUAAGAGAAGUACUAAUUCAG
rnacentral:circRNA from 1 species